GACAGAGGGUGCAAACGUUGCUCGGAAUCACUGGGCGUAAAGGGCGCGUAGGCGGGAAUGUAAGUCGGGCGUGAAAUCCCCAGGCUCAACCUGGGAACUGCACUCGAAACUGCGUUUCUUGAGUAUCGGAGAGGAAAGCGGAACUCCUGGUGUAGAGGUGAAAUUCGUAGAUAUCUGGAGGAACACCGGUGGCGAAGGCGGCAUCCUGGACCGACAUUGACGCUGAGGCGCGAAAGCCAGGGGAGCAAACGGG
rnacentral:rRNA from 1 species